GGCGGUAUAGCUCGGUGGUGGAGCGCGUGCCUAGCAUGCAUGAAGUCCUGGGUUCAGUCCCCAGUACCUCCA
rnacentral:tRNA from 1 species